rnacentral:rRNA from 1 species
ACUCCUACGGGAGGCAGCAGUGGGGAAUAUUGCACAAUGGGCGCAAGCCUGAUGCAGCCAUGCCGCGUGUAUGAAGAAGGCCUUCGGUUGUAAAGUACUUUCAGCAGUGAGGAAGGUGGGUAUGUUAAUAGCAUACUCAUUUGACGUUAGCUGCAGAAGAAGCACCGGCUAACUCCGUGCCAGCAGCCGCGGUAAUACGGAGGGUGCGAGCGUUAAUCGGAAUUACUGGGCGUAAAGCGCAUGCAGGUGGUUUGUUAAGUCAGAUGUGAAAGCCCGGGGCUCAACCUCGGAAUUGCAUUUGAAACUGGCAAACUAGAGUACUGUAGAGGGGGGUAGAAUUUCAGGUGUAGCGGUGAAAUGCGUAGAGAUCUGAAGGAAUACCGGUGGCGAAGGCGGCCCCCUGGACAGAUACUGACACUCAGAUGCGAAAGCGUGGGAGCAAACAGGAUUAGAUACCCUGGUAGGCUCU